rfam:Candida tropicalis MYA-3404 genomic scaffold supercont3.10, whole genome shotgun sequence.
GACACUGUGGCCGAGUUGGUCUAAGGCGGUAGACUCAAGAACUUGAUUCUUCUUCUGAGUUUCAGAGGUUUCUACUAUCGUAAGAUGCGCGAGUUCGAAUCUCGUCGGUGUCA